GACGAACGCUGGCGGCGUGCUUAACACAUGCAAGUCGAACGAAGCUUGAUUACGGAUUCUUCGGAUGAAGUAUGAUAUGACUGAGUGGCGGACGGGUGAGUAACGCGUGAGUAACCUGCCCUUCAGAGGGGGAUAGCGUUUGGAAACGAACGGUAAUACCGCAUAAUGUAUUUUGACCGCAUGAUCGAAAUACCAAAGAUUUAUCGCUGAAGGAUGGACUCGCGUCUGAUUAGGUAGUUGGUGGGGUAACGGCCUACCAAGCCGACGAUCAGUAGCCGGACUGAGAGGUUGAUCGGCCACAUUGGGACUGAGACACGGCCCAGACACCUACGGGAGGCAGCAGUAGGGAAUAUUGCACAAUGGGCGCAAGCCUGAUGCAGCAACGCCGCGUGAAGGAAGACGGUUUUCGGAUUGUAAACUUCUGUUCUUAGUGAAGAAUAAUGACGGUAGCUAAGGAGCAAGCCACGGCUAACUACGUG
rnacentral:rRNA from 1 species